ACUUCCGGGUUGGAGGAGCACCGGAAAUAGCUUGUGCGCAUGUGCACGGGCCUUCUCCAACCCGGAUGUGCACCGGAAAUAACGCUUGCGCAUGCGCACAAGCUAUUUCCGGUGCUCCUCUGACCCAGAAGU